AGAGUUUGAUCCUGGCUCAGGAUGAACGCUAGCGACAGGCUUAACACAUGCAAGUCGAGGGGCAGCAUGAUUUGUAGCAAUACAGAUUGAUGGCGACCGGCGCACGGGUGAGUAACGCGUAUGCAACUUACCUAUCAGAGGGGGAUAGCCCGGCGAAAGUCGGAUUAAUACCCCAUAAAACAGGGGUCCCGCAUGGGAAUAUUUGUUAAAGAUUCAUCGCUGAUAGAUAGGCAUGCGUUCCAUUAGGCAGUUGGCGGGGUAACGGCCCACCAAACCGACGAUGGAUAGGGGUUCUGAGAGGAAGGUCCCCCACAUUGGUACUGAGACACGGACCAAACUCCUACGGGAGGCAGCAGUGAGGAAUAUUGGUCAAUGGCCGAGAGGCUGAACCAGCCAAGUCGCGUGAAGGAAGAAGGAUCUAUGGUUUGUAAACUUCUUUUAUAGGGGAAUAAAGUGGAGGACGUGUCCUUUUUUGUAUGUACCCUAUGAAUAAGCAUCGGCUAACUCCGUGCCAGCAGCCGCGGUAAUACGGAGGAUGCGAGCGUUAUCCGGAUUUAUUGGGUUUAAAGGGUGCGUAGGUGGUGAUUUAAGUCAGCGGUGAAAGUUUGUGGCUCAACCAUAAAAUUGCCGUUGAAACUGGGUUACUUGAGUGUGUUUGAGGUAGGCGGAAUGCGUGGUGUAGCGGUGAAAUGCAUAGAUAUCACGCAGAACUCCGAUUGCGAAGGCAGCUUACUAAACCAUAACUGACACUGAAGCACGAAAGCGUGGGGAUCAAACAGGAUUAGAUACCCUGGUAGUCCACGCAGUAAACGAUGAUCACUAGCUGUUUGCGAUACAGUGUAAGCGGCACAGCGAAAGCGUUAAGUGAUCCACCUGGGGAGUACGCCGGCAACGGUGAAACUCAAAGGAAUUGACGGGGGCCC
rnacentral:rRNA from 1 species